rnacentral:rRNA from 1 species
UGGGAAACCGGGGCUAAUACCGGAUACUGAUCGCCUUGGGCAUCCUUGGUGAUCGAAAGCUCCGGCGGUGCAGGAUGAGCCCGCGGCCUAUCAGCUUGUUGGUGAGGUAAUGGCUCACCAAGGCGACGACGGGUAGCCGGCCUGAGAGGGCAACCGGCCACACUGGGACUGAGACACGGCCCAGACUCCUACGGGAGGCAGCAGUGGGGAAUAUUGCACAAUGGGCGAAAGCCUGAUGCAGCGACGCCGCGUGAGGGAUGACGGCCUUCGGGUUGUAAACCUCUUUCAGCAGGGAAGAAGCGAAAGUGACGGUACCUGCAGAAGAAGCGCCGGCUAAACUACGUGCCAGCAGCCGCGGUA